AUAUUCGCCACUGAGAGAUGUACACGGUGCUGUGUCAUAAUCUCAGGACUAUUAACCAAAGGAUCACGUGUAAAGCAGCAAGUAUUACGUAAGAUACUGGACAGAGAACGAGGAGCACUUUCAGAAAGAGCUCAAAAAGAAAGAG